rnacentral:misc_RNA from 1 species
GGAAGUUGACAGGUUUAAACGCAACCUCGCUAUCCUAUCAUUACAUUGCGUUACACGAUGCAGAUGCCUACAGACUACCACAGACUUUGGCAUCUAAAUCCGUUACAGUAUAUAUGGCUGUGGAUAAAUGGAAUCUAACAAGUGAAUUCUCUUCACCUGGUACUGGAGCACCGGCAUAUCUGGCUAAGAUAAGUCAAA